CUUUGGGCGCUGCCGGCCUUCCCCCGCAGUGCCCGGGCUGGCCCGGCGCCUGGCAAAACCUCUGAGGGAAAAGGCAAGGAACAGCUGCGCUUCUUCUGCCCUUUCUUUAGCCGGGGACUGGAACACAGACAAAAUCGAGGGGCUCUUUGACCUGGGCAGGCUCCGAGCGUUUUUCAGCCUUCCUUCGCAGGGCAUUCUCACCCUCCGAAAAGCUGAAAGGCUUUAACAGCUGGAGACGCGCCUGCAGCUGUGCAAAUUAAUGUAGUUUCUUUUAGGAAACGAAGGGGAAGUUUUCCUGUUGGGAGCCUAAAUACCGAGUCUACUCUGCUUUUUCAAUCAGGUGACGAAGCUUAUGGAAAAAAAGACCAAAGGCCUCGAGGGAUGUUCUUCUUGACCCCCCGGGGCAAACGGAGGUGUCAGCGUCAGGAGCCAUCCUAACUGAGGCCCCGGUAGGCUGCCUCUUUCCCUUCGGUCGCCGUGGACACUGUGCCGGACACCUCUGGCAGGACUAACCCCGGGGCUUUUAUGUCCAGCGUGCUGUGCUGUGUGUGCCUGCAGGUAAGAAAAGCUGGCAGUGCAGUCCCUCUACUUUGAUUGCUGUGUCUCUUGGGUAGCGAUUUUGGAGGGGAAUCCCAGAGCGAUUUGGUUUGAAGGGGACCUUCAAAGGCCAGCCUGUCUUCCGUGGGCAGGGACACCUUCCACUGUCCCCGGUUGCUCCGAGUCCCGUCCAGCCUGGCCUGGAACACUUGCAGGGAUGGGGCAGGCUCAGUUUCCCUGUGCAGUGUGCUCUAAUAUCUCUCCACUGGCAUCCUGAAAAAUGUUGUCAGUGUGUUUUGUUGGACGACGCUAGGCAGGACCUGGGUGAAAAGGACAUUCUCUGAGGUGCUGGGAGAAGGAGGACUCGUGCGGGCACCUCCAGAGACAGCGGGAACGGGAGCGUGCUGCGGAGAAGGAAAAUUCCAGGGGAAUUGCCACGAGAGGAAAUACCUCAGAGGGGCUUCCCUCCAGAUAAGCCCUGAAUAUGCCAGGAGGUUUCAGCCGGGAGAAAGGAGCUGUGGAAGAAAAGCAGCCUAAAAGUAGCCAGCGGGGAUCAUCAGGUUUUCCAGGCAAGAAGAACAAGGAGAGAGAUGAGGGAAUGGGGUUCCAAUUCCUAAUGAUUUGGUGGGUGCAGGAAUGAUUUGUGUGUGUUUUCCAGUCCCUUUUGAUUCCUGAGAUGAUUUUAAAAUGAUGGCUUUAGCAAUCAACUAAAUCGGAGAUGUUGUUUUUGAGAGGAAAUGGUGCCAAAUAAAUGCAGAGUUUUGGGUCA